AAGAAUAUUGGAUUAAGAAAAAGCUGCUAACUUCUUUCUUUAAUGGUUUAACUCCAUUUAUAUUCUUA